rnacentral:lncRNA from 1 species
AAUUCUAAAUCUGUGCGCUCUAAUUAACGAGAUCCUCGCCUGCAUCAGCUGUUGUCUCUGUAAAAAAAUUUAGUGGGGAAUGAAUCGCUAGCUCAGUGAGUAAUAACACUUAACCACAACCGUUUUUAUUUGGGGACAAGUCAGAAAACAUGCUAGUAUCUCAAACAAAUAAUAUCAAAAUGCCCUUUCAGAAACAAUAAAUAAUUUCCAGUCUCAUCAUACUUUUCUUGUAGUAUAAUACAAUUAACAGUUCAGUAAUAAGCUCCGUAACCACUGUAUAAUAUCAAUAUUCACAUUUUUUGGGAGGUUUCAAUGAACGGAUCAUGUAUUCGGUAUAACUAUGGACUUCUUUGCAAGAAGUCAUAUAUAACGGUAGUCCCUACUCGAGGGAAAUCGAUAACGAUAUGCUAGUUCUACCUUCCCACUAGCGAGGGCUAUAACAGUAAUCGGUAAUUACAAGGUGCACCAUGUCUAACGAACCCGCCGUUAGCUACGGAUCCUUCAAUGUCUACUCCCAUUUAUACUUGUCUCUGUAAUCCGCAUAUACUCGUAGAAAAUAAUUUAAAACAAUAUAGGGCAUUUCAGUAUUUAUCAAAUCAUGUAAUUUCCUUUCGAUAACAGUAAAUUCAAGAAACGGUCAAACAGAUCUAGUGACACGAAAAUAUUUAAAACCACGGUAUUAUCUCAAAUAACUAUUUCGGUAUCAUAUCGAGUAAAAGACUUGUCCCACAUGCAACUCAAAAUAAUCAGUAACAUAUUCAUAUUAAAAAUCAAGUGUAAAUCAUACAAGUUAUGAAAACACAAAUUGCGAUAAGAUUACUACUCACAGUACUCGUGCCGAAAUACCAAAUGCUUCACCUCGAGCAAUUCGUAAAAAUUCCUCCAAUCAAUCUAUAAUUACAUAAUAUCAAUCUCAUGUUAAUUUCCUUGUUUAGGCUAAUUCAUAGCUAAUUUAGAAUACCCAAUCAUCGGGGUUCAUGUUUGGAUCUUAAUUUGUGGACUUAUAUUUACCCCCAUAUGAGUAAUUACUAAUUUAUCAACUCCAACCUAUUCAUAUAAUUUAUUACUCCAAAUUUCAUAAAGUUCUAUUGGUUCUUUAGGAAGAAAAUUCUCAAUUGUGUGAAUGAACUAGUGUAAUUUUUAUUACUGUGUAGAAUCUUCCAAGCAAGAGAAUCAAAAUUAAAAUCUACCAGAAGAAAAAGUUCAAGUAAUACCCGUAAGAGACAAUUUGUAUUUAAGAUUCCUCAACAAUUAUAGCUUUGGCUCCAAUACACUGCACCCACUUCUUCCUCCUUCUUUUCUCUUUUCCUUCUUUCUUCCUCUGCUCUUUUUUUCUUUUCGUUUUUUUUCCGAUGUUUCGAAGCUUUCUGCUUCGUUUCGAAGUUAAUAAAACUUUCUGCUUCGUGUUGUUAACCCUUUUCAAAGCCUUUGUUGGCAGGUAAGGGUAAUGGCCCCCUUUCGGCCCUUUUUUUUUGCUUUUCUUAUAUUUUUUUUAAUAUUAGUUAAUAGAUGGUUGCUUAUUAUUAUUAUUAUUAUUAUUAUUAUUAUUAUUAUUAUUAUUAUUAUUAUUAUUAUUAUUAUUAUUAUAUUAUUGUUAUACUAAUGACCAAUACACCCUUAUUAAAAAUAUAGAGUAUUACAUCCUCCCCACCUUAUGAAAUUCGGUCUCCGAAUUUAGCUCAGGUACGUACCUGUAGACUGAAAUAAAUGAGGAUACUUGACUCGCACAACAUCUUCUAUUUCCUAUGUAGCUUCUUCAACAGUAUGAUUUCUCCAUAAGACUUUAGCGAGCACAAUUUCUUUUGACCGUAGCUUUCUUACUUGCCUAUCAACAAUAACCAUCGGCUCCUCCUCGUAGGACAACUUCUCAUCGAGCGGUAUAGUUGGUGCUUCAAUCACCUGAGAUGAGUCUGACAUACAUUUUCUUAGCAUUGAGACAUGAAACACUGGGUUAAUAAAGGAUAACUCAGGAGGAAGUGCCAAAUGAUAAGCCACCGCUCCCACGCGGUCUAGUAUCUCAUACAAUCCUAUAAACCUGGGGCUCAGCUUGCCUCUUUUCCCAAACUGCAUUACACCUUUCAUAGGGGAGACUCAUAGGAACACUUUGUCUCUAAUUGUGAACACUUUGACAUACAUUUUCUUACUUUCUCUUCUUCUCUUAUCAACAUAAGACUUUUGUCUGCUUUGAGCUGCAAGCAAUCUCUGUCUGAUCAACUGGACCUUGUCCAUAGCUUCUUGUACAAGGUCGGGUCCCAAUAAGUUAGUCUCACCAGCUUCAAACCAUCUGAUAGGAGAACGACAUCUUCUACCAUACAAUGCUUCGUACGGUGCCAUUUGAAUACUGGACUAGAAGCUAUUGUUGUAAGCAAAUUCAGCUAAAGGUAGAUAAGUGUCCCAACUGCCUCCAAACUCAAGAAUGCAAGCUCUCAACAUAUCCUCCAAGAUCUGAAUAGUACAUUCAGACUGCCCGUCUGUCUGUGGAUGAAAUGCAGCACUAAGAUCUACUCGUGUACCCAAUGCUUCUUGAAAAGAUUUCCAAAAGCGUGAAGUGAACAGUGAUCCUCUAUUAGAAAUGAUGGAUACUGGAACUCCGUGAAGCCGUACAAUUUCGUUCAUAGAUAUCUGUGCAUACCUAACUCCACCAUAUGUAGUCUUCACCGGCAAAAAGUGUGCUAAUUUCGUUAGUCGAUCUACAAUCACCCAUACCGAGUCAUAACCUCUAAGGGUUUGUGGAAGCCCGAUGACAAAAUCCAUAGUAAUUCUUUCCCAUUUCCACUCUGGAAUCUCAAUUUGUUGUAGUAGUCCUGCGGGUCGCUGAUGCUCAGCCUUGACCUGCUGACAAGUCAAACAACUAGAAACAAAGUUAGCAACUUCUUUCAUACCUUCCCACCAAUAAAAUUGCUUCAGGUCAUGGUACAUUUUGUGGAUCCAGGAUGUAUAGUGUAUUUAGUGUUGUGAGCUUCUUUUUUAUAAUAGCAUGUCUCAACCCAUCUACGUCAGCUACACAUAGCCUCUCACCCAUUCGAAGAACACCAUCACUUUCAACAGGCAUAUCCUUGCUUUUACCAGCUAAGACCUUAUCUCUGUAUUUACAUAAUUGUUCAUCCUCAUAUUGGGUGGCCUUAAUGCGCUCAACUAAUGAAGACUUAGCCUAAGCACAAGCCAACAAUGCCUCUGAAUUUCCGACACUGAAUCUGAUACCUGUAUCUUCUAGUCUCUGAAUAUAUUUGGCUAAAAGUCUCUUUGAAGGGGAUAUAUGUGCCAAAUUCCCCAUAGAUUUUCUACUCAAUGCAUCAGCCACCACAUUGGCUUUUCCAGGAUGAUACAAAAUAGAACAAUCAUAGUCUUUGAGUAGUUCCAUCCAACGACGUUGUCGAAGAUUUAGAUCUCUUUGUUGAAAGAUAUACUUUAGACUUUUAUGGUCAGUAUAAAUCUCACAAGUUUCGCCGUAUAGAUAAUGUCUCCAAAUUUUUAGAGCAAACACCACUGCAGCCAUCUCCAAAUCAUGUGUAGGAUAGUUUUUCUCGUGCUUUUUCAAUUGUAUCGAAGCAUAAGCUAUAACACGACCAUUUUGCAUGAGAACACAUCCUAAUCCCACCCUCGAGGCGUCACAGAAUACUGUAAAUCCUCCAGAACCUGAUGGUAAGGCUAAUAUUGGAGCAGUUGUCAAACAUGUUUUACGUUUCUGAAAGCUUUGCUCACAUUCUUCCGUCCACUGAAACUUUGCAUUUUUCUGUGUUAGCUUGGUCAGCGGUGAUGCUAUUCUGGAGAAAUCCUGCACAAAAUGCCUAUAAUAGCCUGCUAAGCCUAAAAAGCUGCGAAUCUCUGUAGGAGAAGUAGGUCUGGGCCAUUUCUGCACAGCUUCGGUCUUCUUAGGAUCUACCAUAGUUCCAUCUUUAGAUACAAUAUGUCCCAGAAAUGAUACCGAGUCUAGCCAGAAUUCACACUUCAAGAACUUAGCAUAAAGCCGAUGUUCUCGCAAUGUCUGCAACACAGUCUUGAGAUGAUUCUCGUGUUCUCCUUGGCUACAAGAAUAUAUCAGGAUAUCAUCAAUAAAUACUAUUACAAAGCUAUCCAAAAACGGCUUGAACACUCUAUUCAUUAAAUCCAUGAAUGCAGUUGGAGCAUUUGUCAGUCCGAAAGGCAUCACAAGAAACUCCUAGUGCCCGUAUCGAGUUCUGAAAGCAGUCUUAGAAAUAUCUUCAUAUCUUUGAUUCUAAGUUGAUGAUAACCAGAACGGAGGUCAAUCUUUGAAAAGUGGACAACUCCUUGUAACUGAUCAAACAUGUCAUAUAUACGAGGCAAAGGAUAUUUAUUGCGUAUUGUUAUCUUGUUCAACUACCUGUAGUCAAUAUACAUUCUCAUGGAUCCGUCUUUCUUCUUUACAAACAGUACUGGUGCACCCCAUGGGGAUACACUAGGUCUAAUAAAACCCUUAUCUAACAAAUCUUGUAACUGUUGCUUUAGCUCCCUCAACUCUACUGGUGCCAUUCGAUAUGGGGUAUCGAUAUGGGCUGUGUGUCAGGUAGCAAAUCAAUACCAAAGUCUAUUUCUCGUAUUGGAGGCAAUCCUGGUAAAUCCUCAGGAAAUACAUCAGAAAAUUCUCUCACUACGGGCACAUUUUCUAUACUAACUGUUUCCUUUCUUGUGUCAUUUACAAUAGCUAAGAUAACCAAGCAACCUUUCUUCAGAAGUCGUUGAGCCUUCAUAAAAGAUACAAUUUUGCAAGUCUCUAGAACCUGACUCCCUCUUAGAAUAAAACUGGGUUCAUCUGGUAUCUCAAACUUAACUAUCUUUGCAUGACAAUCAACUAUAGCAUAGCAAGAAGAUAACCAAUCCAUUCCCAUCAGCAUGUCAAAGUCAAUCAUAUCAAGUACAAUAAGGUCAGCUAGGGUAUCUUUACCCUAAACCCAAACCUGACAAGCACGAUAUACGUAUUCAGCUAAUAGAGACUCUCCAACAGGAGUAGCAACUAGAAAAGGAUCAUUCAAUAGCUCGGGUUGUCUACUAAAUCUCAAAGCAAAGUACGAGGACACAUAGGAGUGGGUGGAUCCCGGAUCAAUCAACGCAAGUGCAUCAAAUGAACAGAAAGAAAGAAUACCUGUAACCACUACAUUCGAGGCCUGAGCAUCCUGUCUAGUAAAUGCAAAAACUCUCGCCUGACCUAUUCCAACAUUGCCUUGUCCUUGAUUCACAUUAUCACGGUCUCCAAUACCUCGACCUUUAUUUCCCGUACCUGUAGCACCUGAAGUAUUACGAGUAGUCUGAGUCGGUGCAGCUGACUGAAUAGAAGCCUGGUUGAAAUUUCUCGGAGGCUGAGGGCAAUCCCUCAAGUAAUGUCCCAACUGGCCAUACCAAAAGCACUCUCUAGUUAGAACAUGACAUUGGCCCAAAUGUGAUCUACCACAAUUCUGGCAGACUGGAGUAGUGGCAUAUAUCUGCCCAGAAUUUCGAUGUCCAGAAGAUGAUGGUCCCUUAUUACCUUGUCUGUAAUGUAGUCUGUAUGUGGACUGUGAAGACAUGUGUGUCCAUGUCUGAGAACCCUGUUAUUGUUGUUGCCCCUGAUUUCCUGCUCUUCUAUUUUCACUAAAACCACCACUGAAAGCCCCUCCUGUCUUGGCUUUCUUACGUAAAUCAUUAGCUGCACGUUCCUCACGUCCCUUGUUUUCAAUCUUUCUAGCAAGGUCGACUACAUCAGAGUAGGAUAAAGUCUUCAUCUGUGGGGCUACUGUAGUGUAUAGACGACCAACCAAUCCAUCAACAAACCUCUGAACUCGAGCUUCUUCGGUAGGCACUAAGUGAGGAGCAUAUAUAGCCAGCUUACAGAACUUAGUAUUAUAUGUUGACACAUCCAUAUCAGGAGUCUGAACCAAUCUCUCAAAGUCUCUAGCAUAUUGUUGCAUCAGACUGUCUAGAAGAAAAUGAUUCUUGAACAACUUAGUGAACUCGUACCAUGUCAGUGGUGGUGCUCCUGCUGGCCUUCCUAGCAAUACCGUUUCAUACCAUGUGUUGGCCAUAUCCUCUAGUUUGUAUGCUGCGAGCUCCACGGCUCUCUCACUAGAACAUCCAAGAGCACGUAAUGCCUUGAGUGUCCCAUCCAAGAAACUUUGAGGAUCCGCUAAAUUAUCGAAACCUGUGAAUUUUGGUGAUUUCAAUUUCAGGAACUCGUGUAGGGACACUUCCUUAUUCCCGAAAGGCUGCGUCUGUGUAGGUGCUUGUGUUUGUAAAGUAGCCUGAGGAGCUGAACCUCCGCCCUGAGUAGGCACCAAUGCCUCUAACACAUUCAAUAACCUUGUCACUGCAUCUACAGGUAAGGCAACAAUAGGUACAACAGUUGGCACUGGUGGGGGAGUGUUCUGAACUCCCUGCCCUUGCACUUGAUCUGGCAUAACAGCUUGGGUUUGACCCAUGUUCCCAAUUUGGGGUUGAGGAGCAGUCUGUCUUCUAGUUUGAUGAACCCCAACUUGACCGCCACCCCGGGUAGCACCACGUCCAGCAGAUGAGGGUGUACGUGUCCUAGCCAUCAGCGAAAGAAAUAUUCCAAAGUCAAUCUCAAUGCACGAUCAAAGAAUGAAAGAAGGAAAAAACAUUCCUAAAUGUUCAGUAGCCUAGAGAUCAUAAGUAUGGUCGCCUACAUACCCAUGAACAAGACUCUACUAAACAUUGCUCCAUGACUCGGGACUUAAAGCCUAAGCUCUGAUACCAACUUUGUCACGACCCAAUUUAGGAUUGUGACCGGCACUUAGGAGCAAGUGCUCCCAAGUAAGCCUCAUCGGUAAUUUUACAGAAAAUAGGGCAGAGUUUCCCCUGUUUUUGGACCAUCCCAAAAAAAUUUCCUGUCUUAAAUCAACAACCAAACAUCCUAAUAUCAUACCAAACAAUUGACAACUUGUCAAUUAACCAAUACAAGUCUCUACCAUAACUAAAUCACCAACUAACCACUAGAAAUACUAAUUUAUCUCCAACUUCGAUAAAUGAGAACAAUACUCAACAUAAGACUAUAAUAACAAAAGAAUACUCAUGACACUAAAAUACUGAAUAUGGAGCAACUCUAAGAGUUCAAUGAAAAGACCAUAACAAUAAAUAAAAUCUUUGCCUACGCGAACAAGUGCGAGGCUCACCAAGAAUUCUCAACCUGUGCGCUCUAAUUAACGAGAUCCUCGCCUGCGUCAGCUGUUGUCUCUAUAAAAAAAUUUAGCGGGGAAUGAAUCGCUAGCUCCGUGAGUAAUAACACUUAACCACAACCGUUUUUAUUUGGGGACAAGUCAGAAAACAUGUUAGUAUCUCAAACAGAUAACAUCAAAAUGCCCUUUCAGAAAUAAUAAAUAAUUUUCAGUCUCAUCAUACUUUUCUUGUAGUAUAAUACAAUUAACAGUUCAGUAAUAAGCUCGGUAACCACUGUAUAACAUCAAUAUUCACAUUUUUGGGAGGUUUCAAUGAACGGAUCAUGUAUUCGGUAUAACUGUGGACUUCUUUGCAAGAAGUCAUAUAUAACGGUAGUCCCUACUCGAAGAAAAUCGGUAACAGUAAGCUAGUUCUACCUUCCCACUAGCGAGGGCUAAAACAGUAAUCGGUAAUUACAAGGUGCACCAGGUCUAACGAACCCACUGUUAGCUACGGGAUCCUUCAAUGUCUACUCCCAUUUAUACUUGUCUCUGUAAUCCACAUAUACUCGUAGAAAAUAAUUUAAAACAAUAUAGGGAAUUUAGGUAUUUAUCAAAUCAUAUAAUUUCCUUUCGAUAACAGUAAAUUCAAGAAACGGUCAAAUAGAUCUAGUGACACAAAAAUAUUUAAAACCACGAUAUUUAUCUCAAAUAACUAUUUCGGUAUCAUAUCGUGUAAAAAACUUGUCCCACAUGCAACUCAAAAUAAUCGGUAACAUAUUCAUAUUAAAAAUCAUGUGUAAAUCAUGAAAGUUAUGAAAACACAAAUUGCGGUAAGAUUACUACUCACAGUACUCGUGCCGAAAUACUAAAUGCUUCACCUCGAGCAAUUCGUACAAAUUCCUCCAAUCAAUCUAUAAUUACAUAAUAUCAAUCUCAUGUUAAUUUCCUUGUUUAGGAUAAUUCAUAGCUAAUUUAGAAUACCCAAUCUUCGGGGUUCAUGUUUGUAUCUUAAUUUGUGGACUUAUAUUUACCCCCAUAUGAGUAAUUACUAAUUUAUCAACUCCAACCUAUUCAUAUAAUUUAUUACUCCAAAUUUCAUAAAGUUCUAUUGGUUCUUUAGGAAGAAAAUUCUCAAUUGUGUGAAUGAACUAGUGUAAUUUCUAUUACUCUGUAGAAUCUUCCAAUCAAGAGAAUCGAAAUUAAAAUCUACCAGAAGAAAAAGUUCAAGUAAUACCCGUAAGAGACAAUUUGUGCUUAAGAUUCCUCAACAGUUAUAAUUAUGGCUCCAAUAUACUGCACCCACUUCUUCCUCCUUCUUUUCUCUUUUCCUUCUUUCUUCCUCUGCUAUUUUUUCUUUUCAUUUUUUUCCUCUAUUUUGAAGCUUUCUGCUUCGUU